UGUCACAGGUAUGUGCAGUACCAGCCUGGAAGUCUCCAGUAUCUUGUCACAGGUAUGUGCAGUACCAGUCUGGAAGUCUCCAGUAUCUUGUCACAGGUAUGUGCAGUACCAGUCUGGAAGUCUCCAGUAUCUUGUCACAGGUAUGUGCAGUACCAGUCUGGAAGUCUCCAGUAUCUUGGCACAGGUAUGUGAAUAACCAGCCUGGAAGUCUCCAGUAUCUUGCCACAGGUAUGUGCAGUACCAGCCUGGAAGUCUCCAGUAUCUUGUCACAGGUAUGUGAAGUACCAGCCUGGAAGUCUCCAGUAUCUUGUCACAGGUAUGUGCAGUACUAGUUAGCAGAAUUCUGAUCUGUUACAGAAAUAUACCCCACAUCGUUGAAAAUGUGUUUUGUUUUAUGUGGCAUGUGUCGAUUAGUGUGUGUGUCCAUAUUAAGUUUUUGUGUUAUAAAUGCUUUUUGCGAGUAUAAAUGUUUGAAUAUGCCUUUUGAAACUCAACACAGAUUUUUGUUUAGUACGAUAUGUUUUUAGUAGAUUCCACUAUAUUCUAUGUUAAUCUGCACAAAGCAUAUUGUUUAUUAACGUGAAUUAUUUGUUACAUUUGUCUCUCUCAUAACCAACAAAGUACGGGCAUUGUUUUAAAAAUAAUACUAUGUACUUUUUAUACACCCGUAUUAUGUAAACAUCCAAGCAGUGGAAAAUAUUUAUCCAGAGCAUAACUGUGUCUAUGUCCAAGGUCAAGGUCACAAUUAUAGGUCAAAGGUCGAAUGUCUGAAAUUUGUCAGGAGCAUAACAUUGUCCAGCACACUGAGACGUUGUGCUGCGCUAAAGAACCAGGUCUAUAAGUCAAGGUCAGAAGCCAAAAUAGUGUUGAACAAAUAAGAAAUAACAAAAUAUGCAGAAGAUACUACCAUACUGAGUGGCAAACAUUGUAACAAAGUUCCUUAGUCUAAGGUCAAGGUCACAAUUUAAGGUCACAGGUCAAAUAAAAUAAACCUGGUCCAAUUUAUACUGACAUCAUUUUGACAAUGACUAUUGUUUCAUUAAUUUUUUAGCUUAUGUAUUCUAAAAAAGGAUUUGUUUUUAAAUUAACCAGUAGACUAGUUCUGUUUCCCUUAUUUGUGCUUUCCAUUAGCUGUUUCUUUAGUAGCUUUUUUCCCCUAUUUGCGCUUUCCAUUAGCUGUUUCUUCUUAUUUGUGCCUUCCAGUAGCCUUUGUAUGCCCCCGGAUCGAAUGAUCGGGGGGUAUAUUGUUUUUGGCCUGUCUGUCUGUCAUUCUGUCCCAAAACUUUAACCUAAAACUUUAACCUUGGUUAAAGUUUUGCAAUAUUUAAUAACUUGCAAUAUUGAAGAUAGCAACUUGAUAUUUGGCAUGCAUGUGUAUCUCAUUGAGCUGCACAUUUUGAGUGGUGAAAGGUCAAGGUCAUCCUUCAUGGUCAAAGGUCAAAUGUAUGGCUUCAAAGCGGCGCAAUAGGGGGCAUUGUGUUUCUGACAAACACAUCUCUUGUUUCCUUAUGUGUACCUUCCAGUAGCCUUUUAUUCCUUAUUUGUGCAUUCCAUGAGUUGUUUUUCCCUUAUUUGUGUCUUCCAUGAGUUGUUUCUCCCUUAUUUGUGCUUUCCAUGAGUCGUUUUUCCCUUUUUUGUGUCUUCCGUGAGUUGUUUUUCCCUUAUUUGUGUCUUCCGUGAGUUGUUUUUCCCUUAUUUGUAUCUUCUGUGAGUUGUUUUUCCCGUUAUUUGUGCCUUCUAGUAGCCUUUUUAUGCUCCCCCAAAAUUUAUUUUUGGGGGGAGCAUAUAGUCGCCGCUUCGUCUGUCCGUGUGUGUGUCUGUCUGUCCAUCAGUGCACAAUUUUGUCCGGGCUAUUUCUCAGCAACUAAUGACCAGAAUUCAAUGAAACUUUAUGGGAAGCUUCACUACCAAGAAGAGAUGUGCAUAUUAUAAGCGGGUUCUGGUCGGAUGAUUUUUCACAGAGUUAUGGCCCUUUGAAAUUUUCUAUAAAAAAAAAAUCUUGU